GUAGGUGGCAAGCGUUGUCCGGAAUUAUUGGGCGUAAAGCGCGCGCAGGCGGUUCUUUAAGUCUGAUGUGAAAGCCCACGGGCUCAACCGUGGAGGGUCAUUGGAAACUGGAGAACUUGAGAACAGAAGAGGAAAGCGGAAUUCCACGUGUAGCGGUGAAAUGCGUAGAGAUGUGGAGGAACACCAGUGGCGAAGGCGGCUUUCUGGUCUGUAACUGACGCUGAGGCGCGAAAGCGUGGGGAGCAAACAGGAUUAGAUACCCUGGUAGUCCACGCCGUAAACGAUGAGUGCUAAGUGUUAGGGGGUUUCCGCCCCUUAGUGCUGCAGCUAACGCAUUAAGCACUCCGCCUGGGGAGUACGGCCGCAAGGCUG
rnacentral:rRNA from 1 species